rnacentral:rRNA from 1 species
UGGGUCUAAGGGUCUGUAGCCGGCCAAGUAAGUCCCUUGGGAAAUCUGGCAGCUUAACUGUCAGGCUGCUAGGGGAUACUGCUAGGCUUGGGACCGGGAGAGGUGAGAGGUACCUUGGGGGUAGGGGUGAAAUCUUGUGAUCCUCGGGGGACCACCAGUGGCGAAGGCGUCUCACCAGAACGGGUCCGACGGUAAGGGACGAAAGCUAGGGGCACGAACCGGAUUAGAUACCCGGGUAGUCCUAGCCGUAAACGAUGCUCGCUAGGUGUCAGUCACGGUGCGACCGUGAUUGGUGCCGUAGGGAAGCCGUGAAGCGAGCCACCUGGGAAGUAUGGCCGCAAGGCUGAAACUUAAAGGAAUUGGCGGGGGAGCACUACAACGGGUGGAGCCUGCGGUUUAAUUGGAUUCAACGCCGGAAAUCUCACCGGGGGCGACAGCGAUAUGAAGGUCAGGCUGAAGACCUUACCCGAUUAGCUGAGAGGUGGGGCAUGGCCACCUCUCAGCUAAUCGGGUAAGGUCUUCAGCCUGACCUUCAUAUCG